UACGGAGGGUGCAAGCGUUAUCCGGAUUCACUGGGUUUAAAGGGUGCGUAGGUGGAUUAGUAAGUCAGUGGUGAAAUCUCUGGGCUUAACUCAGAAACUGCCAUUGAUACUAUUAGUCUUGAAUACCGUGGAGGUCAGCGGAAUAUGUCAUGUAGCGGUGAAAUGCUUAGAUAUGACAUAGAACACCAAUUGCGAAGGCAGCUGGCUACACGAAUAUUGACACUGAUGCACGAAAGCGUGGGGAUCAAACAGG
rnacentral:rRNA from 1 species